AAAGGAUUUCAUCUGGAGAAUAAAGAACGAAACUGGCAGUAUUUUAAAAUAUAAUUCUGCAGAGAACAAAGAGAAGUCUGGAUUCAUCAUAGAAUUUGUAAAAGGCCCAAUAUCCUGAUGAAGUGGAGGGUGUUGUUAGAGAAGGGAUAAAGACAAAUUUUGAAUCGUUCAAAGCAAAGAAACGAAGAGACGAAACUGGUAAACAAGAAGAACAUAACAAGAAAAUGGCUGUGUACAGCAAGA